AUAUAUAUAGUUCAUUAUAUACAUAUAUAUAUUUCAUUACUAAAGAAGUUUCUUUGACUGCAUAGAGCAUCUGAAACUACCAGGAUAAGCCAAAGCAUCCUCCCCUGAGUGGGAAGCCAGUUCUGGGUCUUGCUUUUCUAACUGUCUUUUACCACUGAGAAUCCUUCUCGUUCUAUGGAAAAGUGAGGAAAGGAUGCAUUCUGAGUGGU